rfam:Schistosoma haematobium scaffold487_29, whole genome shotgun sequence.
UGCUGAGGAGUCCCACAAUAGGACGAAACGGCCGUUCA